rnacentral:rRNA from 1 species
UGGUCAAGUUAUUAAGGGUGCAGGGCGGAUGCCUUGGCACUAGGAGCCGAUGAAGGACGUGAUAAGCUGCGAUAAGCUUCGGGGAGUUGCACGUAAACUUUGAUCCGAAGAUUUCCGAAUGAGGAAACUCACUUAGAGUAAUGUCUAAGUAUCAUUAAGUGAAUACAUAGCUUAAUGAGGGGAACUCAGGGAACUGAAACAUCUAAGUACCUGAAGGAAGAGAAAGAAAUUCGAUUCCGUAAGUAGCGGCGAGCGAACGCGGAUUAGCCCAAACCAAUAAAGUUUUCUUUAUUGGGGUUGCGGACAUAUCAUAACGAAGAGGUAUCGUAAUUGAAGAGGUUUGGAAAGACCCACCACAGAAGGUAAUAGUCCUGUAUGUUAAACGAGAAGA